AGCAGCCGCGGUAAUUCCAGCUCCAAUAGCGUAUAUUAAAGUUGUUGCAGUUAAAAAGCUCGUAGUUGAAUUUCGGGAUCAAUUAGUCGGUCGUGCCUCUGGCACGUACUGGUUUUAUUGGUUCCUCCCUUCUGACGAAACAUGAUGUCAUUAAUUUGGUGUCUUGGGGAAUCAGGACUGUUACUUUGAAAAAAUUAGAGUGUUUAAAGCAGGCUCGCGCUUGAAUACAUUAGCAUGGAAUAAUGAAAUAGGACGUUUGAUUCUAUUUUGUUGGUUUCUAGGAUCGACGUAAUGAUUAAUAGGGAUAGUUGGGGGCAUUAGUAUUCAAUUGUCAGAGGUGAAAUUCUUGGAUUUAUUGAAGACUAACUACUGCGAAAGCAUUUGCCAAGGAUGUUUUCAUUAAUCAAGAACGAAAGUUAGGGGAUCGAGGACGAUCAGAUACCGUCGUAGUCUUAACCAUAAACUAUGCCGACUAGGGAUCGGAUGAUGUUAAUUUUUUCAAUGACUCAUUCGGCGCCUU
rnacentral:misc_RNA from 1 species